AUUCCAGCUCCAAUAGCGAAUACUAAUUCUGCUGCAGUUAAAAAGCUCGUAGUUGAACUUCUGGUAGGACAGAUCCGGCCUUUGGAUGAAUGUCCAUUGUAUGCUGUGUGUCUUGUCUGGCCAUCCUUUAUGUCUUUUAGGCGUAAUCUUUCACUGUAAAAAAAUUAGGGUGUUUCAAGCAAAAGUUAUUUGGAAUAUAUUAGUAUGGGAUGAUAAGAUAGGCUCUUGAGUGCUACUUUGUUGGUUUAUACACUUAGAGAAGUCUUCACAGGGACAGUCAGGGGCACUCGUAUUCCGCCGAGAGAGGUGAAAUUCUCAGACCAGCGGAAGACGAACCACUGCGAAAGCAUUUGCCAGGGAUGUUUUCAUUG
rnacentral:rRNA from 1 species